rnacentral:rRNA from 1 species
GAUGAACGCUAGCUACAGGCUUAACACAUGCAAGUCGAGGGGUAGCAGGGUAGCAAUACCGCUGACGACCGGCGCACGGGUGAGUAACACGUAUCCAACCUUCCCAUAACUCGGGGAUAGCCUUUCGAAAGAAAGAUUAAUACCCGAUGGUACUUAUAUAAGGCAUCUUAAAUAAGUUAAAGAUUUAUUGGUUAUGGAUGGGGAUGCGUUCCAUUAGAUAGUUGGUGAGGUAACGGCUCACCAAGUCUUCGAUGGAUAGGGGUUCUGAGAGGAAGGUCCCCCACAUUGGUACUGAGACACGGACCAAACUCCUACGGGAGGCAGCAGUGAGGAAUAUUGGGUCAAUGGGCGAGAGCCUGAACCAGCCAAGUAGCGUGAAGGAUGAAGGUCCUAUGGAUUGUAAACUUCUUUUAUAGUAGAAUAAAGUGACCCACGUGUGGGUUUUUGUAUGUAUACUAUGAAUAAGGAUCGGCUAACUCCGUG